CAGCUUAACGGGUUUCGACGAGCGGCAUCUAGCUCCUUCUUGGAAGCAGCGUCAACCUUCUUCGCAUCAGCUGCAUUCUCCCUUGCUUCCCGUCGUCGUUUCUGCUCCGUUCUUUGCGCUUUGACUUAGGCACUGCAUACAAAUCAUCCACGAGGAACAAAAUCAGGAUCCUCCUCUGGCUCAGACGGAGAAUCCUCGUCCUCUUCGUCUUCAUCCUCCUCCUCAUCAGUGAAAGGUCCGCUUGGUUCCUCCUCAUCAUCGUCUACGACGAAUCCAGCGUCAAAGACUUCAGGUUG